UCGGUUAGUAAGUGUAUAACAAAUUUAAUUCAUUUUAUUGUGAUUUUUGCAAAUUGUGAACAUUAGAAUUGGUCUAUUUUGAAAAAGACAUUGGUUUGUCCAAACAUUAUGUUGUACCAUGUGAGUUUUCCAAGUAAAAUACAUACAAUGCAAUAACCCCAAGAAAAAUGAAAACUUCCUAUUGGAACCUGAUUAUCAAAUUUGUGAUCAUCAAGAACGUGGUAUCAAAGAGAGAAAAAUUCUACAUCAAAUUUCACUAUGGGUCAUUGAAGAAAAGAAAGCUGGCAACAUAACAUAUAUCAACAAAAUAUUGCCACCAAUUUGGAAAAAUAAACCCCAGACUAUCUAAAAAUUUGUUGCUGAAAUUUAUUCCUUGUUUUCUUGAAUAGAUGACUAAAAGUACCAUGAAUCUUAAGUUUAGACGAAUGUUGUCAAUGAAAGAAAUAUUCUACAUCCAAUUUCACUAUGAGUCUCAAAAUAAACUUUAUAUAAGCCCAGUGUCAAUGAAGAAAAUAAUCUACAUGAAAUUUCACUAUGAGUCACCAAAGAGAAGAAUUGUGUCAGCUUAAUGUACAUCAAUAAAAUAUUACCAUCAAUAUGGUAUAUAUCUAAAAGGAGACAAUAUUGAAAACUUCCAUAUGAUGAUGAAGACUGUUAGCCUGCUACUGAUUUACAACGGAAGUAUUGCAACUUUUUUCUUUACUUUUUUUUUAAAGUCCAUUAAACUUUUUCGUAUUAAGUUUCAAUAU